GCUCAGAUUGAACGCUGGCGGCGUGCCUAACACAUGCAAGUCGAGUGGUAACGCGGGAGUAAUCCUGGCGACGAGUGGCGAACGGGUGAGUAAUGCUUCGGAAUCUACCAAGUAGUGGGGAAUAACCAACCGAACGGUUGGCUAAUGCCGCAUACGACCUACGGGUGAACGCAGGGGAUCGUAAGACCUUGCGCUAUUGGAUGAGUCGAAGUCGGAUUAGCUAGUUGGUAGGGUAACGGCCUACCAAGGCGACAAUCCGUAGCUGGUCUGAGAGGACGACCAGGGACCCUGGGACUGAGACACGGCCAAGACUCCUACGGGAGGCAGCAGUGGGGAAUAUUGGACAAUGGGGGCAACCAUGAUCCAGCGACGCCGCGUGUGUGAAGAAGGCCUGCGGGUUGUAACGCACUUUUAGUGGGGAUGAACAGCUCAGGGCUAAUACCUCUGGGUCUUGACCUAACCAACAGAACAAGCACCGGCUAACUCUGUGCCAGCAGCCGCGGUAAUACAGAGGGUGCGAGUGUUAAUCGGAAUUACUGGGCGUAACGCGUGCGUAGACGGUUACGUAAGUCGGAUGUGAACUCCACGGGCUCAACCUGGGAAUUGCAUUCGAGACUGUGUAGCUGGGGUGCGGAAGAGGGAAGCGGAAUUUCCGGUGUAGCGGUGAACUGCGUAGAUAUCGGAAGGAACAUCAGUGGCGAACGCGGCUUCCUGGUCCAGCACCGACGUUCAGGCACGAACGCGUGGGGAGUAACCAGGAUUAGAUACCAUGGUAGUCCACGCCAUAACCGAUGAGAACUAGACGUUGAGA
rnacentral:rRNA from 1 species